rnacentral:lncRNA from 1 species
AUGGCACGAGCAGGUAAGCAGGAAAGAGCUCUUGCACAUUCAUCAACUCCUUUCAAAGAUGCAGCUACAUAUGUGUCAAUGUUGAUGCUCUGCUUCACAUGUCUCAUAGUAAGCAUCCAUCCAGAGGGCUGCAGAUUUCUUCAAGGCCCUGAAAGAGAAGUAAACAAAAUCAUCAGUAGAUGAAUACAGGAUAGAAGAGAGUGUUACACGGCCGACAAAGGACUCCAGUUACUGAGCUGGUAUGUAGAAAUUGGGUGAAGAGUAGCAUCUGUCAUACAUUGAAUAUUUCCUAUGUGCCAGUCACUGCACUAGGUGUUUUAAACAUUAAUUUUUUAGUCCAAAAUAUUUCCAUAAGCAAUUAUUAUCCCCAUUUUAAAGACAAAUAAACUGUGGUCUGGCAAAGUGUGGUAACUUGCUAGUGUCAGACAUGGAUGGGUAGCUUGCUGGAAAGUGUCAGGCAGCAGAUGGUGCCAAUCUAAACAGAGAAGGAAACAGUCUGAGCCUUCACUGUAGGCCACUGCCUGCACUUAGGCUACCUACUUAACCUGGGAAAUUGUGAGAAAGAAGGAAAUGAAUAUUGUCACAAGCCAGCCGUUGCCAAAAUGCCACAUCAUUAGUCAAGCUAGGGUCUUCAAAAUCUAGGUCUGGGCCAAGUGAAGGAAGAACACCAGGUUGGCCUUGAACAUGUUCAUGGACUCUAAUGUUCUUCGCAAUUCUUGGAAAUGUUCCACCAACUGGGACUGAGAAAUGAAUAUUCAGAGAAGGAAUUAAUUCCCUCAGGGAACACAAAUGAACACAAUGAAUGAUCUCUUUUAUUCAUACCUUAAUUUAAUGAAUAAAAAUUUAUUGAUAUUAAUAUGUUUAAUUGGGAAAAAUUAAAAACAUAAAACCAUGAACAAACAAAACCUUUUAAAAGGGUUAUGAUAAUAUAUAUAUUUUUUUUUCCAGGAGAAGAGAAAGAUGAGUAGUGAUUUAUAAACUGUCCUCAAACUGUUUUGGAACUCAGAAUGGGUUAUUUUUUUUUUUUUUUGAGGGGCGUGGUUUUUGUGUCUAACAGUUGCCUUUUAUUUAUUUAGUCCUUUAUUUUUAAAAAAAAUUUAUUUACUUGAGACAGAAGAGAGAGAGGGAGAGAAAGUGAGCACAAGUGGGGGGAGGGGCAGAGAGAGAGAGAGAGAGAGAGAGAGAGAGAGAGAGAAACAGGAUCCCUGUGGAGCAGGGAACCCAAUGCAGGACUCCAUUCCAGAACCCAGGGAUUGUGACCUGAGAUAAACUCAGAUGCUUAACUGAUUGAAUCACCCAGGCAUUUCUAAUAGUUGCCUUUUAAACCAUCAAUAUUGUUUUAGGUGUUGUUUGAUCUUUGGAUUAUGCUUUGGGGAGCCACGUUGUCUAGAUGGAUCUGUGUUAUUAUCCUUAGGGGUACAGUUUACACAGAAUUUUCUACAUAAUCAGCAGUUUAGUAUGUGCGAAGGGCUCAUUCAUUAAAGAGGAUGAACAUAGGAAAAUACAGUUCACUUAGAUUAACUUAAAGGAUGACUUUCCUGUGAUCUCUGGUGGCAUUAGUGUGUGUCUGCUGCUGUGUGUGGGUCCUGGUCUGUGUCUGUGUAACAUGUGUACGUGUGUGUGUAAGUACAAGGUUACAUUGGUUUACCAGCUUGCCGAGCAGACUGGAGAGUCAGUGCAAGUGCUGGGAAGAGCUGUCUCUUAGCUUAAUGACUAAUGGGUUUGAAACAAGGACAGUGGACACAGUGACCUGAGUAUAAGAAAAAGAGCAGGAUUGUUCAGAUACAUG